rnacentral:rRNA from 1 species
CAAUACUUAGUGGCAGACGGGUGAGUAACAUGUAGGUAUCUGCCCUUUGGCCUGGAAUAACACGAGGAAACUUGUGCUAAUACCAGAUAAGUCUUUACGGAGAAAGCUUUAUGCACCAUUGGAUGAGCCUGCACUUGAUUAGUUUGUUGGUGGGGUAAUGGCCUACCAAGACUGUGAUCAAUAGCUGAUUUGAGAGGAUGAUCAGCCACAUUGGGACUGAGACACGGCCCAAACUCCUACGGGAGGCAGCAGUGGGGAAUCUUGCACAAUGGAGGAAACUCUGAUGCAGCGAUGCCGCGUGAGUGAAGAAGGCCCUUGGGUUGUAAAGCUCUUUCGUCGGGGAAGAAAAUGACUGUACCCGAAUAAGAAGGUCCGGCUAACUUCGUGCCAGCAGCCGCGGUAAUACGAAGGGACCUAGCGUAGUUCGGAAUUACUGGGCUUAAAGAGUUCGUAGGUGGUUGAAAAAGUUGGUGGUGAAAUCCCAGAGCUUAACUCUGGAACUGCCAUCAAAACUUUUCAGCUAGAGUAUGAUAGAGGAAAGCAGAAUUUCUAGUGUAGAGGUGAAAUUCGUAGAUAUUAGAAAGAAUACCAAUUGCGAAGGCAGCUUUCUGGAUCAUUACUGACGCUGAGGAACGAAAGCAUGGGUAGCG